UACGUAGGGGGCUAGCGUUGUCCGGAUUUAUUGGGCGUAAAGGGCGCGUAGGCGGCUUUGCAAGUGACGGGUGAAAUCCCUCGGCUUAACCGAGGAACUGCCUGUCAAACUGCAUGGCUUGAGACCGGGAGAGGUGAGUGGAAUUCCCAGUGUAGCGGUGAAAUGCGUAGAUAUUGGGAGGAACACCAGUGGCGAAGGCGGCUCACUGGACCGGUACUGACGCUGAUGCGCGAAAGCGUGGGGAGCAAACAGG
rnacentral:rRNA from 1 species